rnacentral:rRNA from 1 species
AACAACUCUCAGCAACGGAUAUCUCGGCUCUUGCAUCGAUGAAAAACGCAGCAAAAUGCGAUAAGUGGUGUGAAUUGCAGAAUCCCGUGAACCAUCGAGUCUUUGAACGCAAGUUGCCCCCGAGGCCAUCAGGCCAAGGGCACSCCUGCCUGGGCAUUGMGA